AGCUCCAAUAGCGUAUAUUAAAGUUGUUGCAGUUAAAAAUCUCGUAGUUAGCCUUCUAGUGGGAGCGAUCGGUCUGACACUUCGUGUGGGUACUUGUAUCAUCUCCCGCCAUCCUUGGGGAGAGCCUGUCUGGCAUUAAGUUGUUGGGCAGGGGAUCCCCAUAGUUUACUGUGAAAAAAUUAGAGUGUUCAAAGCAGGCUUAUGCUGUUGAAUAUAUUAGCAUGGAAUAAUAAGAUAGGACCUCGGUACUAUUUUGUUGGUUUGCGCCCCAAGGUAAUGAUUAAUAGGGACAGUUGGGGGUAUUCGUAUUGCGCUGUCAGAGGUGAAAUUCUUGGAUUAGCGCAAGAAGAAAUACUGCGAAAGCAUUUACCAAGGAUGUUUUCA
rnacentral:rRNA from 1 species